rnacentral:rRNA from 1 species
CAGUCGCCACGGUAAAACGUAGGGCGCAAGCGUUAUCCGGAAUUAUUGGGCGUAAAGAGCUCGUAGGCGGUUUGUCGCGUCUGCCGUGAAAGUCCGGGGCUCAACCCCGGAUCUGCGGUGGGUACGGGCAGACUAGAGUGAUGUAGGGGAGACUGGAAUUCCUGGUGUAGCGGUGAAAUGCGCAGAUAUCAGGAGGAACACCGAUGGCGAAGGCAGGUCUCUGGGCAUUAACUGACGCUGAGGAGCGAAAGCAUGGGGAGCGAACAGGAUUAGAUACCCCUGUAGUCCCUGUCUCUUAUAA